rnacentral:lncRNA from 1 species
AAUAAUGGACUCCACUUUUUAUUAUAAGUAAAAUGGGAGGGCUAAUUAUUUAAUACACACACUACACGCACAAACACACCAAAAAAAUAUCAAUCUCUCUCUCCUUUCUCUUCUCUCCCUUUUCUCUCAAAAUCAAACUGUCGCCCACCACCCCUACCACCGUCGGAGUCCGAUGAAACCUUUACCACCACGUCACCCUCUCUCCCUUCAUCUUCUCUUUUCUGUCGCAUCUUACUGGAUGUGACAACCGAUAAGCUGCCUCCGGCCACCACCAUUACUGUCGCCUCUUUUCCUUUCCCUUCCCCAUUUUCUUUUUCAUUGCUUCUUCGCCAAAAGUGAUGACCGGCAAAUCUCCCCAACGAGCAGCCACCACUAUGGCUAGUUUUCCUCACCCUUUUCUCGUGUUUCCAUCGCUGCCUCAUUGAAAUUGAUGGCCAGCAAGCUCCCAAAGCAUCACUACCGCCACUGCUUUACCAGACAUGGCCAGAUCUGGGCAAGAUUUCAUUUCUCCGGCGUGGCUUCGAUGAAUACCUUUAACGCAAUGCCACCAACAAUCUUUGUUGUCUCCGAUUUUGUUAUUUAUUUGGUUACUAUGCUUUAUUUUCUUAAAAUAGAUCUAUGCAUUUCUUGUGCUCUAACGAUUCUUGACUGAUUUUGGGUUGUCUUUCAAUAUUUUUGGUGGCCUUGAAUUUUCGAGCAUCCUCUUUGUUUUCUCUAGGUGAAACUGCUACAAGUUUGCUCAUUUUGGGUUGUUCUGUUAUUGUUUAGCCACUGUUUUGCUGCUUGUGGACUGAUUUUUCUCUCACUUUUGCUCUUUUACUGCAUUUUACAUUUUUAUUAAAUUGAUAAUGAACAAAUGUUAUAUUGGCCAAGAAAUUUUCUGUCGAUUUUUUAGGCCUUCACAAAUAAAAAGACAGAUAUUGCGUAUAUAAAUACAUAAUAAAAUAAAUAUUUCAGGUGAUGAUAAAAUUUUUAUAGCAACACAAAAGUUUUAUGAUUCGUAUCUUGGUAAGACGAUUUAGGACGGCUAAUAAAUUAAGCAACCACUUCGUAGCCAUAGUGUACCUAAAAUCUGAUCCGAGCCCACACUUUUACUAAAAAAAUUUAUUUUUUAUACAUAUAUGCACACACAUCUUCUCAUUUUUUUGAUAAUUAUUUAUUUGUUACUAAUAUUUUUAUUACAAGUGCUUAUACAGGUUAUUGAGAAUAUUUAUCGGAAAUGACAUGCAAAGAAGACUUUAAUUUUUGUGAUUCGUAUUUUUAUAUUAUUACAUUUGUAUAAAUAGCAAUUAUAGUGAAAAAUUUAUUUUUUGGGGUGUUAGGCGGGAAUGCUUUAACUUAUACUACAUUCAUCACGCGCUUAGGCAAAAUUUAGGCUGUUACUAUUUACUUGAAAGAAUUAAAUUAAUUUAGAUAUUUAAUCAAAUAAUUCCUACUUUUUUUUUACAUUAAACAUGGCUUAAUCUUUUUCUGUAAAAUAAAAUUUCGUUAUCUAAUCUUUUCAUUUUUUUCAUACAUAUUUUCAUGUACUUUCAUUUACCUUCAUGCACUUUUAUACACAUAUUUUUUCGAUAACACAAUGUAAUUUACACAUUCUUUAUACAUAGAUUGUUUAUUUUAAUAUACAUUUUAUAGUUGCAUUUAGAAACAAUGAUUUUUCUUUUCCUCUUUUAAUAAUAACCUAAGUCUGGUCGGGAACCACAUUUGUGGAUUCUGAAGGGUGUCUAAUCCCUUCCCUUCGGAAUAAUUUAAACGUUUACCUGAAAUCUAAAAUGGUUUCGUAGAUUAAAAUAAAGUCAUACUUGUUAAUAAAUAAAUAGGUUUUUUUAUUUUCCUUAAAAAUUAAGUGGCGACUCUGUACAAAUUAAUUCUUUUUAAAGUCCAUAAUAUCGUGCUCGUUUUGAGCUUAGGUAAAAAUCGGGUAUGACAGGUACAACAUCCCUAGUUGAUAUUUUAGGAAACAAAUUCUCUUGUUCAUGUCUUCAUUGGGUACGACAUUCCCUAGUCGCAUUUUAACAAUCAAAUAUCCUAAUCCUUUUCAUGCAUUCGUGAAGUAUAACAUCUCUUGAUUGCAUUAUUGAGAAAGAACCUUAUCUUAUUUUCCUACCUAAUUUAGAUUUCUAGCAUUUUCAUAUUUUUCAUUUAAGUAAUUAGUUUGGAGCUUUUCUAAGGACUCACAAAAUUUUCCUAGUGCAAACUGGGGCAAGAACUUUUGUUCGUCUUAGUUUUGUUUUCUUUGAUAUCUUGCAGGUUUUUCUGCAAAGAACAUAUGUGAAGUCUAAAUAUAAAAUCCCAUCUCCGGUUAGAGUAUAGAAGAAUGAUCAAUUUCGAAAAUAGUUACAGUCAGCUUUGCAUCCAUAGCAACCCAACAUCGCAAGAGUCAUCUUCUCAGCGUCUGAUGAUUAAGAGAAUAAGCAUCCAAGAAUAUUCUACGAACUAUUCUUUGGAGGAGUGUCAAUGACUCGAUCCAAGUUUCAAAUUCAAGUCUCAAAUCUUAACUUUAAGAUUAAAUUUGAGAUCAAGGUACCCACCAAAAGAAGGUGAUGCGAUAACUGAAGAUCCAAAAGGAAGAUUUGAAGCAAGAGAAUCAAGACAAUUAGAAUAGAUAAGAGCU